ACCUUGAUAGGACAGAAAUUAUAAAAGAACACCAAAAGCUGGAGAAAAGUAAGUGGUACAGACUCUUUUAAAGAAAACAAUUCAGUUCCGUCAGCUACUAUUUUAUAAAAAAUGAUAAACGGAUACGACUAAGAGAUCGAAUUUGUGAACGAUUCGUACCAAGCAAUAAAUAAAGUUGUCGCUUGUAUACCAAAAGCAAUUAUGGUGUGGUAAGAAAAGAGAAUGUAACAAAAAACAAGGCGGAACUGGUAAAGAGAUAAAUUAUGGAAGGUUAUAAACGGUGGGCAAUCGAUAUCUUUAUAAGGAUAAAUCUUAUAGUGUAGUGACAAUAUCGCGAAUCGGUAUCCUUACAUUGUGAAUGUACAAUGUCCAUUCUAACUCGUAAUUUCUGCAACGUAACUAGCUACUGUUAGUAACAACAACCGGAAUUUUCGGAUUUGAAUUAAUUAAGCCUCAAGUGAUCUCCAUCUUGGUAUGGCCGAUUCACAAAUUUACCAUACCAACGAUGUGUACUGAAAGCGUAAAGUACUAACACACAAUUAAUUCAAUGGGUCAAGCACAUCAUGUAAGUGACGACGUAGCCCAAAACUAUUCCAUUCAUAGCACGCCAUCUAUCAAAGAACUUGAACAAAGAAACUAGUACAAAAUUUUGAUUUUCAAAAGCGGUUAAUUGAUAAGUUACUUGCUGUAAAUCAUAUUGGCCAAAUCGUGAAAUGUACGUACUGCUAACAUUGCGCACGCAAGUAAGAAAAAGUGGGGACAAGAAGCAGAGGUAAAUCAAUUAUUCAAGAAUGUAAAUAUUGACCCGUUCGAUCAUCUACAGCUUUUUUUUUAUGAAAAUCACGUUAUUAACAA